CGGCUGCUCAGUAACACGUGGACAACCUGCCCUCGGGUGGGGGAUAACCCCGGGAAACUGGGGCUAAUCCCCCAUAGGUGAUGGGUGCUGGAAUGCCCCAUCUCCGAAAGCGCUUAGCGCCCGAGGAUGGGUCUGCGGCGGAUUAGGUAGUUGGUGGGGUAACGGCCCACCAAGCCUAAGAUCCGUACGGGCUGUGGGAGCAGGAGCCCGGAGAUGGACCCUGAGACAAGGGUCCAGGCCCUACGGGGCGCAGCAGGCGCGAAACCUCCGCAAUGCGGGAAACCGCGACGGGGUUAGCCGGAGUGCCCGUGCAUUGCACGGGCUGUCGGGGUGCCUAAACAGCACCCCAUAGCAAGGGCCGGGCAAGACCGGUGGCAGCCGCCGCGGUAAGACCGGCGGCCCGAGUGGCGGCCACUCUUAUUGGGCCUAAAGCGUCCGUAGCCGGCCCAGUAAGUCCCCCGGGAAAUCUGGUCGCUUAACGAUCAGACUUCCGGGGGAUACUGCUGGGCUAGGGGCCGGGAGAGGCCGAGGGUAUUCCCGGGGUAGGGGUGAAAUCCUGUAAUCCCGGGAGGACCACCUGUGGCGAAGGCGCUCGGCUGGAACGGGUCCGACGGUGAGGGACGAAGGCCUGGGGAGCGAACCGGAUUAGAUACCCGGGUAGUCCAGGCUGUAAACGAUGCGGGCUAGGUGUCACCGGAGCUACGAGCUCCGGUGGUGCCGGAGGGAAGCCGUUAAGCCCGCCGCCUGGGAAGUACGGCCGCAAGGCUGAAACUUAAAGGAAUUGGCGGGGGAGCAG
rnacentral:rRNA from 1 species